rnacentral:tRNA from 1 species
AAAAGGAGAAUCCCAUUCCUCCCUAAGACU